rnacentral:lncRNA from 1 species
CGUAUGUGCUGACGGACACACACGGACAGCAACGGACGUCCUGUGUGUGCUGGCGGAGACCCACGGACGUCCUGUGUGUACUGAAAGACAGCCCUUGUAACACCCCGAUCCGGCCGACUAGGCCGUGGUCGAAGCCUUACGUCGCUCGGUCCACUUCCUGGCCGAACCUCUUAAUUUUUGCCCUUUAUUAAUAAUAUCGCCUAAAGGCGAGGGCUAACUUAAACCUUAGCUAAAGAUUUCCCUAGUCAUUAAUAGCAUAGAUCCUUUCAACAGAUACGCAGCGGAUUAUUCUCUAAUUAACCAUUGGUCUAAAACCAAUCUAGCACUUGUUUGGUCGAAUCACCUUAGCCUUGGCCAGUCAAUCCUAAACCCAAACCAAGCCAUACGAUUCUGAGGUUCCAUUCCCCUAAACCAUUCUAUCUAGAUCUACAUAAGUAAAUGCUAGAUCAUACCUUUGCCACAUCUAUGGAGCUUAUUAGCUCAUCGGUCCUCCAUUGACUUGAAUUGCUCUUGCUUAACAGCUGGAACACGAUCACUUAAUGAUCUUACUUAAGGUCCUUAUCUUGACUCCUGCAUCAAACAACUCCCCUAGGUACUUAGUCAUUCAACCAACCAUCCCCACAGACAUAAGUAACCUUUUAGAAGUCUUCGAAAGGAUAAGGAUAUGUAUUUGGCCUAUCUUGGCUCAAGCACAAUCCGAAAUCCUUUUGCCUUAUAGGGAAUAGUACCAAGUCCAUCUUCU